UUCCUGGUGGCUCAGAUGGUAGAGCGUCUGCCUACAAUGUGGGAGACCCAGGUUCAAUCCCUGGGCCGGGAAG